ensembl:lncRNA
UACAUGAAGACCAAAGCUGUCGGAUUAAAACUUCCAAAGAAAGAGGUCAUUGCUAUUUAGUGGCACCUCUACCUUCCCAAGUCAGGUACAACUGACUGGUCUUUGCUAUUGGGAGGAGAAAUAUGCAGGAUUUGUUUAGACAGCGUGGUUAUGCAAUGUUGAAUAAAGUUAUCCUUGAGCAACAUGUGUUAUGUGAACCCAGUGGUAUAUUUACAGGCUUUAUUGGUGGGCUCCACUGAAGUAAAAUUAAGAUGGAAGCUAUGAGGUCUCGGGCACAUAUAAAGGAAUGCAUGCGUGGAGGAGAAGAGAUCAAUAGAUGUGGCACAGUGUGCUGAACUCUAUUACCAGAAACAGGAUUUCAAACCUCAACUGGGCAAAUAUGUAACAAUGUAGAAAAGAAAAACUUUGUAGGAGCGUCCAUCAAUUAAAGAUUUUGAAAUCUGCACCAAACCAGGGUCCUCGUACUCUAAAGCCCAGCAGGGCAGCCAACAAGGCUUGUUUUUAGAUUUUUUUAAAAUUUUCAGACACUGUGGAGGUAUGUAAGAACGACCCGAGAGCUCGUCAUAUUGUAACUGGUUUACAAAUUAGUUUGAUUGCUGUGUUAUUGUGUUCAGAACUGCAACUCACUUAUUGCAUACACUGUUCCAAAAAAUAGUAAUGUCAAAGUAUAUUACUGUAAUUUUUUACAGUUUUGUACUGUCUUCCUAGGAUAUCAUUCAAUUUACAUAAGCAGACUGUGAUCUUACAUGUCAAAGGUAAAACAACAUAACAUCACUGUAAAUAUAGUAAAACACAAUUUACUUGUUUCUUAAAUACAUUUUUUUCGUACAUAUGCAUAUUUAGAUCUUAAAAAUACAUCCAGAAACAGCUAGUUCUCUCCCAUCAUGCCUUGGGACAUGUGCUGCUGUUUAGUUGUUCUUGUUUUAUUGUUUAUGGUUAGUUACUUUUAACUGUUAACUUGAAUGUUGUGUUUACGCCGUGGUGCAGAGUCACUGACAGUUGUUGUUUUGUAGCGAGAUGUCACUCAUGUACCAUGAGUGACUUCUGUUCUGCUGUUGUUGAAGGUUGAGGCACAUGGAAACACUGGAAAGUGUGUAAAUAAAGAGCUCCCCCUGCCAGCUUGGGGUUGAAUAACAAGCUCAAUCUCUCUCUUUGAGCUAAUUAGUUAAGAUUCUUUUGCAUGCCACAAUGUAAAUCAGUUCACGGCCACGCUGUGCUAAUUAUAUUUUUUUUUAAAAUAAAUGUAGAGGUGGGAAUUGCAAUUAAUAUAAAUCUCAAAGUAUUCACAACAGAAAUAGGCCUCUGCACCUGGGGUGAGGGUGUGGCCAUGAAAACAAUGUGAUAUGCCAUUGGAUGUUGGGACACAUAAUAACAUGACACUAAGCAUCGGCCAAUGAAUGUGAACUAACAACAACAAGGUCGCGGGUAUGGCUGCACUGUAGGAAAGAAUCGUGCAUUUUACAGUUUUGUUCUGUUCUUCUAGAAUAUCAUUAAAGUUACGUAAAUAGACUUUGACUUCACAUUUCAAAUGUAAAUUAACGUCAAAUCACUGUAAUGUAAUGAAACAUAAUUGUCAUGAUCAUUAAAUGUAUCUAUCUGUACAUAUGCAUAUUUAGAUUGUUAAAAUACAUUCACAAAUGUAUCAUGAUUCCACAAAUAUCUGUCCAUUAUUUGAAAGACUGAACUGUUGGAUUCAAAUGUAAU